GAAAUGCGAUAAGUAAUGUGAAUUGCAGAAUUCAGUGAAUCAUCGAAUCUUUGAACGCACAUUGCGCCCGCCAGUAUUCUGGCGGGCAUGCCUGUUCGAGCGUCAUUUCAACCAUCAAGCCCCGCGCUUGUGUUGGGGACCUGCGGCUGCCACAGGCCCUGAAAACCAGUGGCGGGCUCGCUGUCACACCGGGCGUAGUAGAUUUUAUCUCGCUCAGGGCGUGCUGCGGGUUCCGGCCGUUAAAAAGCCUUUUUUACCCAAGGUUGACCUCGGAUCAGGUAGGAAGACCCGCUGAACUUAAGC
rnacentral:misc_RNA from 1 species